rnacentral:lncRNA from 1 species
GCGCUAAACACUGUAGUAAUUAUACUUUUGCGUACCUUGUCACACGGAACACAUUAAAAAUAUACUCUCCAUAAUAAUACAUCAGGCCGGCAUGUACAAAUUUUCGUCAAACGGUUUUCGUUGUUUUCAUUGCGAAACUGAGAAACUGUUACUUGACGGAAUAUGGAGACGAAUGGAGUCAAGUUGACAGGAUAUAACUAGACAUCUAUAUUGUGCCGAAUACUAAACUGACACGGACUUCAUAGUCAACAAUGGUACAGCAUGAAGUAAGGAUUGCCAAUAAUAAUCUCGGUGGAACCUCCAAAUUG